GUGGCCCGGUACCUUGUCUAAGACCACGUAUGUUAAAGGAGGGAAGACUCAAACAAGGCCAGAACCUCUCUGGUGAAAAAGAAGCUGGAACCACGGAAGGAAGUAGUUUGGCUAUACUGCUCUGAUUAGACUGCAUCUCCCUCCUUUUCCCAUGGAGCCUGUGUUAGGGAAAGGAGAUGAGCUGAGAUCAGAGGGGCAAAGGGCAACAUAAUGAGGAAGGUCUCUCCUCCAGGAUGGAGAAGGAAGAGAUAACAAGCCAUUGGAAUCUGUUUCAUGCGGUGGCAAUGUUAAGAUUUGGGGACAAGACGAAGCCAUUGUUCUAAGGAACCCAAAGAGGGCUGAUGACAUUCUUUGGAUGGCCAUACGUUUAGCAGAGGAGGGAGGAAGAGAUGAAGAUGAAGAGGAGGAGGAGGAGGAGGAGGAGGAGAAGAAGAAGAAGAAGAAGAAGAAGAAGAAGAAGAAGAAGAAGAAGAGAGAGAACAGUAACAGUAACUAGGAAUGGUAUAGACUUUUGAAACCUCAAAGUCCUCUCCCAAGUGACACACCUCUUUCAACAAUGCCACACCUCCUAAUCCUUCCCAAACAGUCCCAUCAAGUGAGGACCAAGUAUUUAAAUAUAUGAGCCUAUGGGAGCCAUUCUCAUACCAAUUUGGGCCUCCCUUAGCUGAGUUACAUAAUAGUGACACAUAAAAUUAGUCAUCACAAUAAGCAGUCUUUUAUAGCUUUUGUGUGUUGAAGCUUAGAGGGGCUACUGACCAGUCAUAAACCUAAUGGUGUACACUGACCUCCCAGUCUUGGCUUUCAGUUAGGUUCCUUCCUACUAUACUGAGCUUUGGGACCGGAAAAGUAGACUUCAUCUCGGAACACCUGUAUCCACUGAAAUGUUUUUAAAAUCACUAGUAUCCUUCCUUGAAAGAAUGGACAUAGGGGAUGAUCUUCAAGGGGACAAGGACUUGAAUAGGUACCUAUCCAAAGAUGUAUAAAUGACCAGCACCAGUGUGAAGACAUGCUAAGUACCAUGAGUUAUCAGGGAAAGGGAAAUCAAACACAGACUGAGGCCUGACUUUAUGCUUAGUGGGAUGACUAAAAUUAAACAUGGAGAAAACAAGUAUUAAAAAAGGCCAUCGAGGGAAGGGGACCCUCAUGCAAUUGCUGCAGGGCUGUAACUGUAGAAAAUGUUUUGUUUCACAGGAAGUUAAAGACUAACCUCACAAUACCAUGAGAAGUGGAAAAAGGGACCCAAACAGAAACCUAUACACCAUGUUGAUUGCAGUCAACAAAAUAGCACAACACUUGGAGGAUGUCUACAAAGGGGUUUUCAGCUCUGAAAUGAAUGGAUCCUGAAAACAUUAAGUUAGGCAAAAUAAGUCAGACAUGAAUAGACAAAUACUGCCUGAGUACACUGACAUGAAGUAUUUAGAAUAGGCAAACUCACAGAGACAGAAAGUAGGUAAGAGUUAACCAGGGGCUGAAGGGAGGGAGAGGGGGAAAGUAUUGCCUAACCCUAAUGGGAGCAGAAUUUCUAUUUGGGGUCAUGAAAAACAUUUAAAAAUAAAUAGUAACAAUGAUUACACAAUAUUGUGUUUGUAAUUAAUGCCCCUGAGUUGUACAUUUAAAAAUUGUUGAAACAGCCACUGUGACAGCUGAUGCCUGCAAUCCUGUCUUGGGAAGUCGAGGUGGAAGGGCCAUGAGUUCCCAAUUAGCCUGGGAUACAUAGUGAAGCUCCACCUCAAAAAAUAUUUAAAAUAAAAAUGUCAUUGCUUAAUAAAUAAACAGAAUAAACUGGCUAAGAUGAAAUUACGUUUGCCACAAUUAAAGAAUCUUUAAUGCAAGUGGGAUAGAAAGGGAAGGAGAAAUAAUGAGACGAGAAGGGUUAAGUGUGGAGAGAAAUGGGAGGCCAGGGUAGAGGAGUGAGUGUGGGGAAGAGUGUGUGUAUGUGUGUGUGUGUGUGUGUGUGUGUGUGGGCGGGGGGGGGGGUAAUAGCUAACAGACAUUGUGACCAUGGAAACUCUUAUAAGGGAAAACAUUUAAUUGGGACUGACUUACAGUUCAGAGGUUUUGUCUGUAGGAAACAUGAUGGCAUGCAGGCAGAUAUGCUGCUGAAGAGGCAGCUGAGAGCUCUACAUCUGGAUUGGCAGCAGGAAAAGAGUGUGAUUCUGGGGCUGGCUUGAGCAUUUGAAACCUUAGAGCCC
rnacentral:lncRNA from 1 species